rnacentral:tRNA from 1 species
AGUCUAGGGGUGUUACACGUGGGAUUGCAAACCCCAAGAAGCAGGCGCAACCUGCCUAGGCUU